rnacentral:rRNA from 1 species
CUGGCGGCAGGCCUAACACAUGCAAGUCGAGCGCGCCUUCGGGUGAGCGGCGGACGGGUUAGUAACGCGUGGGAACGUGCCCUUUUCUACGGAAUAGCCUCUGGAAACGGAGAGUAAUACCGUAUACGCCCUUUGGGGGAAGGAUUUAUCGGAGAAGGAUCGGCCCGCGUUAGAUUAGGUAGUUGGUGGGGUAACGGCCUACCAAGCCUACGAUCUAUAGCUGGUUUUAGAGGAUGAUCAGCAACACUGGGACUGAGAAACGGCCCAGACUCCUACGGGAGGCAGCAGUGGGGAAUCUUAGACAAUGGGGGCAACCCUGAUCUAGCCAUGCCGCGUGAGUGAUGAAGGCCUUAGGGUCGUAAAGCUCUUUCGCCUGUGAUGAUAAUGACAGUAGCAGGUAAAGAAACCCCGGCUAACUCCGUGCCAGCAGCCGCGGUAAUACGGAGGGGGUUAGCGUUGUUCGGAAUUACUGGGCGUAAAGCGCGCGUAGGCGGAUUAGAAAGUUGGGGGUGAAAUCCCGGGGCUCAACCUCGGAACUGCCUCCAAAACUGCUAGUCUAGAGUUCGAGAGAGGUGAGUGGAAUUCCGAGUGUAGAGGUGAAAUUCGUAGAUAUUCGGAGGAACACCAGUGGCGAAGGCGGCUCACUGGCUCGAUACUGACGCUGAGGUGCGAAAGUGUGGGGAGCAAACAGGAUUAGAUACCCUGGUAGUCCACACCGUAAACGAUGAAUGCCAGUCGUCGGGUAGUAUACUAUUCGGUGACACACCUAACGGAUUAAGCAUUCCGCCUGGGGAGUACG